rnacentral:rRNA from 1 species
GGUUAAGCGACUAAGCGUACACGGUGGAUGCCCUGGCAGUCAGAGGCGAUGAAGGACGUGCUAAUCUGCGAUAAGCGUCGGUAAGGUGAUAUGAACCGUUAUAACCGGCGAUUUCCGAAUGGGGAAACCCAGUGUGAUUCGUCACACUAUCAUUAACUGAAUCCAUAGGUUAAUGAGGCGAACCGGGGGAACUGAAACAUCUAAGUACCCCGAGGAAAAGAAAUCAACCGAGAUUCCCCCAGUAGCGGCGAGCGAACGGGGAGCAGCCCAGAGCCUGAAUCAGUGUGUGUGUUAGUGGAAGCGUCUGGAAAGGCGCGCGAUACAGGGUGACAGCCCCGUACACAAAAAUGCACAUACUGUGAGCUCGAUGAGUAGGGCGGGACACGUGGUAUCCUGUCUGAAUAUGGGGGGACCAUCCUCCAAGGCUAAAUACUCCUGACUGACCGAUAGUGAACCAGUACCGUGAGGGAAAGGCGAAAAGAACCCCGGCGAGGGGAGUGAAAAAGAACCUGAAACCGUGUACGUACAAGCAGUGGGAGCCUCUUUAUGGGGUGACUGCGUACCUUUUGUAUAAUGGGUCAGCGACUUAUAUUCUGUAGCAAGGUUAACCGAAUAGGGGAGCCGAAGGGAAACCGAGUCUUAACUGGGCGUUAAGUUGCAGGGUAUAGACCCGAAACCCGGUGAUCUAGCCAUGGGCAGGUUGAAGGUUGGGUAACACUAACUGGAGGACCGAACCGACUAAUGUUGAAAAAUUAGCGGAUGACUUGUGGCUGGGGGUGAAAGGCCAAUCAAACCGGGAGAUAGCUGGUUCUCCCCGAAAGCUAUUUAGGUAGCGCCUCGUGAAUUCAUCUCCGGGGGUAGAGCACUGUUUCGGCAAGGGGGUCAUCCCGACUUACCAACCCGAUGCAAACUGCGAAUACCGGAGAAUGUUAUCACGGGAGACACACGGCGGGUGCUAACGUCCGUCGUGAAGAGGGAAACAACCCAGACCGCCAGCUAAGGUCCCAAAGUCAUGGUUAAGUGGGAAACGAUGUGGGAAGGCCCAGACAGCCAGGAUGUUGGCUUAGAAGCAGCCAUCAUUUAAAGAAAGCGUAAUAGCUCACUGGUCGAGUCGGCCUGCGCGGAAGAUGUAACGGGGCUAAACCAUGCACCGAAGCUGCGGCAGCGACACUAUGUGUUGUUGGGUAGGGGAGCGUUCUGUAAGCCUGUGAAGGUGUACUGUGAGGUAUGCUGGAGGUAUCAGAAGUGCGAAUGCUGACAUAAGUAACGAUAAAGCGGGUGAAAAGCCCGCUCGCCGGAAGACCAAGGGUUCCUGUCCAACGUUAAUCGGGGCAGGGUGAGUCGACCCCUAAGGCGAGGCCGAAAGGCGUAGUCGAUGGGAAACAGGUUAAUAUUCCUGUACUUGGUGUUACUGCGAAGGGGGGACGGAGAAGGCUAUGUUGGCCGGGCGACGGUUGUCCCGGUUUAAGCGUGUAGGCUGGUUUUCCAGGCAAAUCCGGAAAAUCAAGGCUGAGGCGUGAUGACGAGGCACUACGGUGCUGAAGCAACAAAUGCCCUGCUU